rnacentral:rRNA from 1 species
CGACGUGAGUAACCUGCCUUGGAGUGGGGAAUAACACAGUGAAAAUUGUGCUAAUACCGCAUAAUGCAUUUGGAUCGCAUGGUUCUGAAUGCCAAAGAUUUAUCGCUCUGAGAUGGACUCGCGUCCGAUUAGCUAGUUGGUGAGGUAACGGCCCACCAAGGCGACGAUCGGUAGCCGGACUGAGAGGUUGAACGGCCACAUUGGGACUGAGACACGGCCCAG